UGAGUUCAGAGGAUUUCUUUACUGGUGAAAAGUUUGUGCCCUCAACUUUUGAUGUGGGUGAGGGAGUUGUUGUGGUUAAACAGCCUGCCACCCCAGCUGAGACUGGCACUUCUGACUCUGUGGUAAAUGCUGAGAAUGUUGGUGAAGUCGAACCCAGCUUGGAAAGAAAGACAAGAAAAAGGCGUAAAGACAGCAAACAGAGACGUAUUGGCCCCAAAGGGAAAAAAAGAAAACCCACCCUGGUGCAAGAGGAUGAGCCAGGAAUUCCAGGCACAUCUGUCGAGGAAACUUUAGGCACCUUGGUCGAGGAAACUCCGGGCCCCACUGUAGAAGACACACCAGGUGUAGGUGUAUCUCUUAAAAAUGUUGAUACUUCUUUAGAAACAAACGACAGUCCUGAAGUUGUAACUAAAAGGAAGUAUACAAAACGAAAGGGUCAAGUUUUAUCUAAACGUGGGCACAAGAAAUCUGAUCAAUCUACAAGUG